UGCUCACCCUUCCCUACUUUCUUGCUUGCCACUCGCCACUCCCACCCCCACCGUGACCCCAAGAAGAAGAGCUUCACCUUCCAGAGUGUUCCUGCGGCCGUCAGCACCAAUGAUGACAUCAAAUUCAAACUCCGACAGAGAGUGAUCCCCAGGGAGAAACUCUGCCCGCCAGCCAAUUUCUACCAGGACAGAAGAAGGAGGAGGCUCUAGAACCUUCACAAACUCCACAUUCACGUGAAUUUCAACUCCCAGCAUCAGGGCCACCUUGAAGAGAAUGAGCUGCAGCUGACGAAUACCUGCCAGGAAGGAAGGGGAAGAGGGGUGGACUGUCAGCGGUGCCUCCUGGACGCAGAUCACCCCACCUCAGGAACCCUGGCCAGAGCGACAGACCAACAGGGAUCACCACGGAGCACUCAGUACCCGCUAAGUGCUCAGCCAAGCACUGCCCGCGCGUGUUCUCUCAUCGAACCCUUAGAGAAGCCCUCGGAGAGAAUGACUACGAUUGUUCUACGGGUGAGACAUUGAGGUUCAACGAGGCCAAAUGAUUUGCUCAAGGGCAAGAGUGAUCAGUCCUACAGCGCAGAGCCAGGUCGGUUGGAUCCCAACACGGAGCUCCUGUCAGUAGAUAAUGCUGUCGUUCGAUGAUGGCUCUCCUUCCUGUCGACAAGAUCAGGAUGGAAGAGGAAACAGGAGAAUAAAGACUCCUACAUAAA